GUGCUCGCUUCGGCGCACAUAUACUAAAAUUGGAACGGUACAGAGAAGAUUAGCAUGGCCCCUGCGCAAGGAUG
rnacentral:snRNA from 1 species